GACGAACGCUUGCGGCGUGCUUAACACAUGCAAGUCGAACGGAAAGGCCCUGCUUUUGUGGGGUGCUCGAGUGGCGAACGGGUGAGUAACACGUGAGUAACCUGCCCUUGACUUUGGGAUAACUUCAGGAAACUGGGGCUAAUACCGGAUAGGAGCUCCUGCUGCAUGGUGGGGGUUGGAAAGUUUCGGCGGUUGGGGAUGGACUCGCGGCUUAUCAGCUUGUUGGUGGGGUAGUGGCUUACCAAGGCUUUGACGGGUAGCCGGCCUGAGAGGGUGACCGGCCACAUUGGGACUGAGAUACGGCCCAGACUCCUACGGGAGGCAGCAGUGGGGAAUAUUGCACAAUGGGCGGAAGCCUAAUGCAGCAACGCCGCGUGCGGGAUGACGGCCUUCGGGUUGUAAACCGCUUUCGCCUGUGACGAAGCGUGAGUGACGGUAAUGGGUAAAGAAGCACCGGCUAACUACGUGCCAGCAGCCGCGGUGAUACGUAGGGUGCGAGCGUUGUCCGGAUUUAUUGGGCGUAAAGGGCUCGUAGGUGGUUGAUCGCGUCGGAAGUGUAAUCUUGGGGCUUAACCCUGAGCGUGCUUUCGAUACGGGUUGACUUGAGGAAGGUAGGGGAGAAUGGAAUUCCUGGUGGAGCGGUGGAAUGCGCAGAUAUCAGGAGGAACACCAGUGGCGAAGGCGGUUCUCUGGGCCUUUCCUGACGCUGAGGAGCGAAAGCGUGGGGAGCGAACAGGCUUAGAUACCCUGGUAGUCCACGCUGUAAACGGUGGGUACUAGGUGUGGGGUCCAUUCCACGGGUUCCGUGCCGUAGCUAACGCUUUAAGUACCCCGCCUGGGGAGUACGGCCGCAAGGCUAAAACUCAAAGGAAUUGACGGGGCCCCGCACAAGCGGCGGAGCAUGCGGAUUAAUUCGAUGCAACGCGUAGAACCUUACCUGGGUUUGACAUGGAUCGGGAGUGCUCAGAGAUGGGUGUGCCUCUUUUGGGGUCGGUUCACAGGUGGUGCAUGGCUGUCGUCAGCUCGUGUCGUGAGAUGUUGGGUUAAGUCCCGCAACGAGCGCAACCCUUGUUCACUGUUGCCAGCACGUUAUGGUGGGGACUCAGUGGAGACCGCCGGGGUCAACUCGGAGGAAGGUGGGGAUGACGUCAAGUCAUCAUGCCCCUUAUGUCCAGGGCUUCACGCAUGCUACAAUGGCUGGUACAGAGAGUGGCGAGCCUGUGAGGGUGAGCGAAUCUCGGAAAGCCGGUCUCAGUUCGGAUUGGGGUCUGCAACUCGACCUCAUGAAGUCGGAGUCGCUAGUAAUCGCAGAUCAGCAACGCUGCGGUGAAUACGUUCCCGGG
rnacentral:rRNA from 1 species